CGGCGGCUCGAGCCCCUGCGCUUCCGGCCCCGCCCCCUCCGGGUCCUGCCGCCUGCCGGGCCCCGCGAUGUCCCUGGUGCGGGUGGCGCGGCCCCGCGCCCCGGGGAAGAAGCCGCCGAAAGCGAAGAAGAAGCCGCCGGCGGCCGAGCGGGACUGGGACGUGAGUGGAGCCCCCCGCCCGAGCACUGUCCAUGAUUUAACAGUGCAUCGUGCAACUCCUGAAGACAUGGUGCGGCGUCAUGAAAUACACAAGUCCAAGAACAAAGCACUGGUGCACGUGGAGCUACAAGAGAGAGCACUGAAGAGAAAAUGGAAGAAGCAGAGGCAGGGGGCUCCUGAUUCCCUAGAGAAAAGGAAGCUGGCCCUCAUGCGAGAGAUUCUCUCUGAUCAGUAUCAGCUGCAGGAUGUGUUGGAGAGAUCUGAUCAAGCCAUGGCUGUGGUGAAAGACCUGUUUGGUGAUGCUCCUCGCAGGCAUACAGGUUUCCCUAAUGUAACAAUGGCUCCUCAUUGUGACCUGGAAUCCUCUCAAGGUCCCAUUGUACAAAAAAGUGAUCCUCCCACACAGCUUUCCAUCCUUAGUGAAUCUAUCAUGGAUCCCCAGGCUCUCAAUGAAGUAGAAGGGGAAGGUUCCUCCAACUGUCAGUCAGAGGGCAGUGUGAAUGAACAGGAUGUGUCUUUGCACUUCAAGUCCAACAUUGACACAAACAGGCUACUCCACUUACUGAAAGAAGAAAACGCUGCCGGGACUUCCCAGCUACGGGCUGAGAAGCAACUGAGAACUCCUACCCCAUCACAGAAAGCAAAUGUAGCUGUGACUCCAACAACUGCUUUGCCAUCAUCAGGAGGUGCAGCCCUCAAUGCUACCAGAGUAGUCCAGAGAGUCCAUUCAAGGCUUCAGAAUGAAGAUGAAGAGCAGACUUCAGAUUCCUCUUACACUGUGAGACAAGUGCUGAACCCAAACCCAAGAAAGCAAAAGCAAGUUUCAACAAAAGUGAAAAGAAAUCAAACUGCACAGAUGGCUUCCAAACAGAGAAGAAAUGAUUCUCUUGCUAAUGCAGUUUCCUUCGAACUCCCAAGUGGCAAUAAAUCUAGCUUGGAUGUCCUGAAUCACAUGAUACAUGAAGUGGAGCAUGAAAUGGAGGAAUAUGAGCGAUGGACAGGCCGUGAAGUACAGAGAAUGCAAAACGGUCAUGGCCUCACAGGGUUCACCAUGUCACUGGUGAACACACUCUGUCGUCUGAUGCGCUACCUCAAGGAGAGUGAGAUGCAGCUGCGUCAGGAAGCAGCGAUGAGGCAGCAGCUUGAGGGGGUGCUGAAUGAACACAGAGCACUGAUUGAUGCUCUGACAACUGAAAUCCUUCUGGUCAGAGAAGAAAAUGCUGCCAUACAGAAAAGGCUUCAGCAAUAUAUGGUGGUAACAGAUGAACAGUUGAUUUCACUCACUCAGACAUUCAAAAGCCUCCCUAUAACAGAUCCUAACAGAGGGCGAAGUCCAACAGAUUUUGGAGUUCCAGUCAACAGUCAAGAGAAGCCUGUAUUAUACUCUACUGUGCCCAGGACCAAUCUUUUCAGAAGGGAAAACACACUUGUAUCCUCACAGGAGGAGCUGCCUAUGAAACUUCAUCAGUGGUCAAGUCCCCCAGAUGCUGUAGUGGCAGGCAGCAGUUUGCCAGCUCAUGUGUUCCAGCCAGCUGUAUUGUUAUCUCCACCUAGACAGAAGAGUAUCCAGGAAUUCCCUCCUUUUCAGAAUGCAUUGAAGAAGACAGUUCAAACAUAUCCUGCAUCCCACAUCUCUCCAUCUAUGGAAACCACUGAGAGAGAGCCAAACUGGCAAAAGAGCUCACCUUCCUCUGCAGGAACUCAGAACACAAAUGAAGAGAAUCGUCUCCUCACCCAGAGGUGGCGAAUUCCUCCCAUACACAAAGACUUGGAGAGUUCUUUACUGUCAGAUGGUCAGCAAGGGAGAAGCACCUUGUCCCCAAUGGACAGAUGGGCCAUUGCUGGCUCUGGGGAGGAGCAGAAGCCCAGUGCACCUGAGGAGCACACUCAAAGCAAUGAUCUGUUAGGACAGAUAGCUGAGCUGACACUGCAGAACUCUGUUAUCAAAGCUCAGCUGAGCAAAUUCAGAGAUCGCUCUCAAGAGGCAGGGGAUGGCCUGCAUCAGCCAAUUACAAUGCAAAAUAUGAACACUAGUUUAGGAUCAGCCAUGCAGGGACAGACUUUGCCAGAAGUAUCAAAGAGCUUGGAGGAACGAAUAACAGAGCUGAACCGCCAAAGUGCAGAAGCCCGUGGUAAACUGCUACAGCUGAUAGACCAGCAAAAAUUGGCCACUGUCAACCCUAUCUCUCCACCAGUAUCGCCUAUUUUACCUCCCCCCAUAAAUUGGACUGAAAAUGAAAAGAGGACAAUUGAGGUGUCUGUUCCAGUGGCAGAAACUAUGGACCACUCCAAAGGAGAUACUCCUUCCCCUGCGAGUGGGGCCAGUGUAAGAAGUGUUCGCUUCCUCCUUCUCUUUUCCACCUCACCUCACAUGCGUAUAGAUCUACGGGUGCCUCUAGCAAGACUUGUUCUCCAUUAAGUACCACUUCGGGAAGUAUGAAAUUGACACCUGUCAAUCAGAGGACAAAGGUGGAGAGGCAAAGAGAAGAAGGCUGGUUUGCACUAUCAAUGCAUAUCAUGUAACUGAAGCUGAAUCGCAUAGACUCUAUUUUAUAUUUAUUUUUUUGUGACCCACCGGUAGGUUUCUGUAGUCCCUCUCCCCAAAACGUGAAUUUUAACUCUCAAAGUGCCUACUUGUCAGUGCCACUAGUAUACAGAGGUCCAUAAGCUUAUUAUGUUUAUGCUCUCCUUCAGAGUAAUGCAUUUGCAAUUAUAGCCUGGAGAGUGGGACACACAAGGUGGGAAUGGAAUGUAACAGUCCAGUCCCUAUUGGAUGAAGAGGACCUAAAUUGGGGCUGAUUUUUAUACCAUUUCUAUACCUCAAUAAUGCAUCCGCCAACAUUAGACAUGCUGAAGAAAGGGGCUUCUGGAGAAGAGACCAUUUUUUCAUGCACCAGCUCAGAUACAUGUCAGCACAAGAUAAGGAAAUAAAUAGGACAAUCCAGUUGACAAGAGCUGUGUGUGUUACGGAACAGUUUGGAAUACCAUUGGUGAAUCAAUUUGUGGAGUCACUCUGAAGGACUUGCCUCAGAAAUAAACCAGUUCCUUAUGCUUCGAGUGUGGUGACUGGUUUAUGGAAGCUAUCUUCUUGUACAAAGAGAAUCCUCUUGUCUGAAAGUCAUGACCACAACACCACAGAGGCAGCUACUGUUUUGACUUCUGGCUUCCAAACUAUCCCCCAGCCUCACAUCACAACUCCAGUCUUACUGCUUCUGUGCCACAGUGAGCAGCUCUUUUGUGCAGCCCUGUUCUGAACUCUGGGGCUGAGCAGGAUUUUCCUUUACAUGUGGGGAUAUGUUUAAAGGAAAGAAUACCUUCCUUUUUCCAGAUUCUGCUAUAACCGUCACCAUUUUAUAUGGUUUUUUGAUUGAUUAAUGACCAAAGGCUGCCACUGACUUACAAUAUAGGGCCUGAUCAGAUGGCAUACAUUCUGUUUUCCCUAAGUUAAUAUAAAUGGAUCCUUUCUGGUUCAGUUUCUCUCCUUUACCUGCCCCCCCACCCAUGUUGUGGUAAUUAGGUGCUCCUUCCUCAAUGUGAGAAAUUUCUUAAUACUUUAGGGCAUCCAGGUGAGCGACUGGAUUGCUCCAUAGUUCAUCUCUUUGUCACCCUCUAACUUUUUCAUUUCUAGUACCUUAUUUUCCAUCUCCUAGGUGGGCCAGGCAAUUAAAUGCUGUUUAGUCAGGACAAAGUCCUAAAAUCUGGUGCUUUGUGUCGUAAGCUAGCAUGUCACAUCUUUGUAUAUUUUCAAACAUCUAUUCAAUAUAGAACUAUAUUAUAAGACAGGUAUAAGCCCUUCAGGUCUCAGCAUGUUCCAUAGAUCCAUUUCAAUUUCUUAAGAUGGAAAGAAUUAGAGUAUUUUAUGAGACGAUCCUCUGCUCUUAAUUCUGCUCAUCCUUCCUCUGUUCUAGGUGGACUGAUUGCUGCGCCCAUCUGGUAUGAUGUAAAAAUGGAGGAUUUGCUGUAUAUAGGGAAUAGACUAUUUAAAAAUACUAUAAAUCUCCCCUCCUAACAGGGAAUCCUCUGUUCUGGCAUUUCCCUCCUUAUACACGUUUUGAAUGUUUCUAGGAUUUAAAAGCUACGAACACUUCUCAACUAGGGCUGCAAUGUGUUUUAUAGAGGGAUCAGUUCAAAAAAAUCUGAGAGCAUUAGCUGCCUCUGGUCUUGGAGCAUGGCUAACCCAUCAGUUAUGACUUCCAGACUUGAAGAUUCCUUGUUUUAGGAAGACAUUUAUGGUAAACUUUAAAAUGUCUAAUUCAGGUUGUAACUCUUACCUCCAGGCCCUUGGUCUCUGAUACAGUAAUGAACUACAUGGAGUACUAUACCCAAGUGCUGGUGCAGCUAUGUUAAAUUAUUUUGGGUCCUGUGAGAAUGUAUAAUCCAGGGGCUGUGAUCUUGUACAGGUUUAUUUGAUAUUUUAUGUAUCAAUUUUUAAUUUUAAUGAUAAACUGUAAAUAAAAUCCAAUAAUCAGAG